rnacentral:tRNA from 1 species
UGGGGCGACGUAGUCAAAUGGUAAGACAGAGGAUUGCAAAUCCUUUAUUUCCCGGUUCGAAUCCGGGUGUCGCCU